rnacentral:rRNA from 1 species
UACAUGGGGUGCAAACGUUGCUCGGAAUUAUUGGGCGUAAAGCGCACGUAGGCGGUUCGUUAAGUCGGAUGUGAAGCCCUCGGCUCAACUGAGGAAGUGCACCCGAAACUGGCGAGCUUGAGUACGAAAGAGGAUCGCGGAAUUCCGGUGUAGAGGUGAAAUUCGUAGAUAUCGGGAGGAACACCGGUGGCGAAGGCGGCGAUCUGGGUCGAUACUGACGCUGAGGUGCGAAAGCGUGGGAGCAACAGG